GAACGGAUCCAUAUUGAAACCUAGUGAUGUAUGGAUUAGUGGCGGACGGGUGAGUAACGCGUGGAUAACCUGCCGUAUACAGGGGGAUAACACUUAGAAAUAGGUGCUAAUACCGCAUAAGCGCACGGUUCCGCAUGGAACAGUGUGAAAAACUCCGGUGGUAUACGAUGGAUCCACGUCUGAUUAGCCAGUUGGCGGGGUAACGGCCCACCAAAGCGACGAUCAGUAGCCGGCCUGAGAGGGUGAACGGCCACAUUGGGACUGAGACACGGCCCAAACUCCUACGGGAGGCAGCAGUGGGGAAUAUUGCACAAUGGGGGAAACCCUGAUGCAGCGACGCCGCGUGAGUGAAGAAGUAUUUCGGUACGUAAAGCUCUAUCAGCAGGGAAGAAAAUGACGGUACCUGACUAAGAAGCCCCGGCUAACUACGUGCCAGCAGCCGCGGUAAUACGUAGGGGGCAAGCGUUAUCCGGAUUUACUGGGUGUAAAGGGAGCGUAGACGGCAGCGCAAGUCUGGAGUGAAAUGCCGGGGCCCAACCCCGGAACUGCUUUGGAAACCUGUGCAGCUCGAGUGCAGGAGAGGUCCCCCGAAUUCCNAGAGCAGCGGAGAAANGCGNAGAUCUUUUGAAGAACCCCCNNNNCNNNNNCNNCNNNCNNNNCNNNNNCNNNCNNNNNNGCNCNCAAACNNNGGGGGCCCUUUUAUGUAGNNNCNNNNNNNNNNNNNNCANNNNNNGGGCCCUUUAUUGACUGGGGGGGCCAAGGGCCCUCCGGUGCCGCCGCAAACGCAUUAAGUAAUCCACCUGGGGAGUACGUUCGCAGGAAUGAAAACUCAAAGGAAUUGACGGGGACCCGCACAAGCGGUGGAGCAUGUGGUUUAAUUGGAAGCAACGCGAAGAACCUUACCUGGUCUUGACAUCCCGGUGGCAAGUGAGCAAUGUCACUGUUCCUUCGGGACACCGGAGACAGGUGGUGCAUGGUUGUCGUCAGCUCGUGUCGUGAGAUGUUGGGUUAAGUCCCGCAACGAGCGCAACCCCUAUUUCCAGUAGCCAGCAUAUGAGAUGGGCACUCUGGAGAGACUGCCCGGGAUAACCGGGAGGAAGGCGGGGAUGACGUCAAAUCAUCAUGCCCCUUAUGACCAGGGCUACACACGUGCUACAAUGGCGUAAACAAAGGGAGGCAAAGCGGUGACGCCAAGCAAAUCCCAAAAAUAACGUCCCAGUUCGGAUUGCAGCCUGCAACUCGGCUGCAUGAAGCUGGAAUCGCUAGUAA
rnacentral:rRNA from 1 species